rnacentral:lncRNA from 1 species
AUGUCAGCUGUACCCACAAGGAGUAGUCCUUGCUCCAUUCUGUCUGAGUUUUGGAAGCUGCCUUCUUCACACCAGCACAGAAAAACAGGUGUCCUGGGCCCCAGACAGCACCCACCCACCCUCUCCAGAAAGGGCUGGCUGGGGUUGGCCAGUCCCAAGGCUGAGCUGUUACCUCCUUCCUUUAGAAGGGCUGAGGCUGCCUGCUUCCACCCCCAUCGUAAAGGGCUGCCUCUCCCCCAGGUGAGGAGCUGCUUGACUUUCUGUGGUCCUGGAGCAGCAACCGCAGCGGUGGGGAUGAUUCAUAGGAGGGAGGGCGGCCGUGGAGGGAAGGAGCCUGGGCAGCUCUCUCUGAGCUGGAAGCAGGGGCCAGGCAGUGUGAGGGAGGCCAGUCCCAGGGUCCCUGAGUUCCCAGCGGCUCCUCCCAGUCCCCAAGGCUGCACUCAGCUUGGGCCUGCUGGGACUGGAGAGGAGAGACUCAGAGAUCUUCUUACCAGACAGGCUCACAGGGAAGGAAGCACCUCUGGAGGAAGUGAAGCAAACCAGGAAGGGAAAGAGGCAGGAGUUAUGAGAGUCCAUCCGGCCUGCUUUAUGAAAGCCCUGGGUCCUGGGACAGUAGACUUUCACCUGGGCCAACGUGGUGCUCGUUGUGGCAGUUUCCACCACCCCCUGGCUUGACAGGAUUCACCCCAGAGCUAAUUUUCCAGUUUCCAAAGCACCAGCCUCUCAGAGGCCCUCUCCCUCCCUCCUCUUAUGGCCUUCCUACGAAUAACAUCAGCCACAACAGUUUGCUGUGUGCCUUCUCUUUCUAAGGGCUUACCAAGCAUCCUCUCUCUUACAUUUCCAAUAACCUCUAAGAGAUAGGCUCCACUAUUAAUCCCAUUUUACAGACCAGGAAACUGAGAUUUAGAGAAAUGAAAUCACUGGCCCAAACCAAAGAUUUGAACCCAGGUCAGUCAGUUCUUGCAAGGAGAUCAAAGUAGUCAGUCUAAAAGAAAUCAACCCUGAAUAUUCAUUGGAAGGACUGAUGCCGAAACUGAAGCUCCAA